rnacentral:rRNA from 1 species
ACGCUCGACACCUACGGGGGCAGCAGUGAGGGAUAUUGGUCAAUGGGGGAAACCCUGAACCAGCAACGCCGCGUGAGGGAUGACGGUCUUCGGAUUGUAAACCUCUGUCCUCUGUGAAGAUAAUGACGGUAGCAGAGGAGGAAGCUCCGGCUAACUACGUGCCAGCAGCCGUGGUAAUCUGAGCGGGCUGGCAAGGC